GCUCCCGUAGCUCAGGUGGUGAGAGCGUUGGUCUUAUGAGCUGAAGAUCGCGAGUUUGAACCCCGCUGGUACCA
rnacentral:tRNA from 1 species